rnacentral:rRNA from 2 species
CGCCCGAGGCGGGGGAUAACACCUGGAACAGAGGCUAAUACCGCAUAACAACUCGGAGUGCAUGGUCCGAGUUUGAAAGAGGGCUUCGGCUAUCACUUUUGGAUGGUCCCGCGGCGUAUUAGCUAGAUGGUGGGGUAACGGCUCACCAUGGCAAUGAUACGUAGCCGACCUGAGAGGGUAAUCGGCCACAUUUGGGACUGAGACACGGCCCAAACUCCUACGGGAGGCAGCAGUAGGGAAUCUUCCACAAUGGACGAAAGUCUGAUGGAGCAACGCCGCGUGAGUGAAGAAGGGUUUCGGCUCGUAAAACUCUGUUGUUAAAGAAGUAACAUAUCUGAGAGUAACUGUUCAGGUAUUGACGGUAUUUAACCAGAAAGCCACGGCUAACUACGUGCCAGCAGCCGCGGUAAUACGUAGGUGGCAAGCGUUGUCCGGAUUUAUUGGGCGUAAAGCGAGCGCAGGCGGUUUUUUAAGUCUGAUGUGAAAGCCUUCGGCUCAACCCGAAGAAGUGCAUCGGAAACUGGGAAACUUGAGUGCAGAAGAGGACAGUGGAACUCCAUGUGUAGCGGUGAAAUGCGUAGAUAUAUGGAAGAACACCAGUGGCGAAAGCGGCUGUCUGGUCUGUAACUGACGCUGAGGCUCGAAAGUAUGGGUAGCAACAGGAUUAGAUACCCUGGUAGUCCAUACCGUA